CCGCCAUAUCACGUUGAAACACCUGUUCUCAUACGAUUACUGAAGUUAAGCAACGUAGGAACUACGCAGUACCUAGAUGGGUGACCGUUUGAGAAUACCAGGUGCUGUAA